UACAGAGGUGGCAAGCGUUGUUCGGAAUUACUGGGCGUAAGGGGCGCGUAGGCGGUUCGUUAAGUCCUGUGUGAAAUCCCCCGGCUCAACUGGGGAACUGCACAGGAAACUAGCGGGCUUGAGUUCGGGAGAGGGAAGCGGAAUUCCGGGUGUAGCGGUGAAAUGCGUAGAUAUCCGGAGGAAUACCGGUGGCGAAAGCGACUCUCUGGACGGAAACUGACGCUGAGGCACGAAAGCGUGGGAGCAAACAGG
rnacentral:rRNA from 1 species